CCUACGGGUGGCAGCAGUGAGGAAUAUUGGUCAAUGGGCGCGAGUCUGAACCAGCCAAGUAGCGUGAAGGAUGACUGCCCUAUGGGUUGUAAACUUCUUUUAUAUGGGAAUAAAGUGUUUCACGUGUGCCUUUUUGUAUGUACUUUAUGAAUAAGGAUCGGCUAACUCCGUGCCAGCAGCCGCGGUAAUACGGAGGAUCCGAGCGUUAUCCGGAUUUAUUGGGUUUAAAGGGAGCGUAGGUGGGUUGUUAAGUCAGUUGUGAAAGUUUGCGGCUCAACCGUAAAAUUGCAAUUGAAACUGGCAGUCUUGAGUACAGUAGAGGUAGGCGGAAUUCGUGGUGUAGCGGUGAAAUGCUUAGAUAUCACGAAGAACUCCGAUUGCGAAGGCAGCUUACUAGACUGCAACUGACACUGAGGCUCGAAAGUGUGGGUAUCAAACAGGAUUAGAUACCCCUGUAGUC
rnacentral:rRNA from 1 species